AACGCGAAGAACCUUACCAACCCUUGACAUCCCAGGACCGGCCCAGAGAUGGGUCUUUCACUUCGGUGACCUGGUGACAGGUGCUGCAUGGCUGUCGUCAGCUCGUGUCGUGAGAUGUUCGGUUAAGUCCGGCAACGAGCGCAACCCACAUCUUCAGUUGCCAGCAGUUCGGCUGGGCACUCUGGAGAAACUGCCCGUGAUAAGCGGGAGGAAGGUGUGGAUGACGUCAAGUCCUCAUGGCCCUUACGGGUUGGGCUACACACGUGCUACAAUGGCAGUGACAAUGGGUUAAUCCCCAAAAACUGUCUCAGUUCGGAUUGUUCUCUGCAACUCGAGAGCAUGAAGUCGGAAUCGCUAGUAAUCGCGUAACAGCAUGACGCGGUGAAUACGUUCCCGGGUCUUGUACACACCG
rnacentral:rRNA from 1 species